GAGUCUGGAUCUGUCGAAGUUCUUGGUAAUUUCUUCUACUUUAUUGUAAUAUUCAUUAUUGUUCUUCCUACUAUGAAUAGUAUUUUAUUCUAUUCUACUAUAUUAGAAUUUACUUUGCUCUAUUUGAUUAUGUUCUCAAUUAUAUUGUUCUUAGUUUACUUUAAUUAUAUGCUUAGCAUAGUUGGACUAGAAUUAUGUUUAU
rnacentral:lncRNA from 1 species